rnacentral:rRNA from 1 species
CCUACGGGAGGCAGCAGUGGGGAAUAUUGGGCAAUGGGCGCAAGCCUGACCCAGCAAAGUCGCGUGAAGGAAGAAGGCUUUCGGGUUGUAAACUUCUUUUAAGAGGGAAGCGCAGAAGACGGUACCUCUUGAAUAAGCCACGGCGAACUACGUGCCAGCAGCCGCGGUAAUACGUAGGUGGCACGCGUUGUCCGGAUUUACUGGGUGUAAAGGGCGUGUAGCCGGGCUGACAAGUCAGAUGUGAAAUCCCGUGGCUCAACCACGGAUCUGCAUUUGAAACUGUCGGUCUUGAGUAUCGGAGAGGCAGGCGGAAUUCCUGGUGUAGCGGUGAAAUGCGGAGAUAUUAGGAGGAACACCAGUGGCGAAGGCGGCCUGCUGGACGACAACUGACGGUGAGGCGCGAAAGCGUGGGGAGCAAACAGGAUUAGAUACCCUUGUAGUC